UUUCAUUCUGUUCUGUCUUAGCUAGCUACCUACAACUAUACCAAAUGGACUGGUUUAUCAUCUGCUUAUGUAGUAGAAUUAACACACUGCAUCAAUACAGGUACCUGCUGGUCACUAGUCAAAUAUAUAUAUUUUAUACUGUAGUAGCCAUAGAAUUAGGAAUUUGAGUACUAGAAUGGACAUGGCCUGUCUUAUGAUGGGAUAAAGGUCAUAUUUUGGUCAGGGAGUUCGUCAACCCUGGUUUACCAGUGCUGUAAUAAGAUAGUGUAAAAUAAUGGAUUUUAAGAAUUUAUCUGUACUCUUUGUUAGCUAGCCAGCCAGUUUCAGAGGAAUAAUUCCAUAUCUUAAUGAACUGAACUGCCAAGAUGCCAACAUUCAAUUUCAAACAAUACAGUGAGUCAAUAGGCAUUUUUCACGCCCCAAAAGACCACUUCCUUCCACGCCGAGCAGUGUGUGACGAUAUCCGGUUGUCUGUAGUCUUCUGCGAAAUUCAAACAUUGGAGUUUACCCAGUCACUACUCAAUUUGCCCAAGUUUGGCAUUAGUGAUGUGGCUAUCGUUCACGAACAUUCCCAGACGAAGAGAUCUGAACUUCAUAAAGGAUACAAGUUCUUCCACAAAGAAUAUCUUCAACGRUCAAGGUAAGUUAGUACUUGAAGUGACCAGUUGAGAUAGAUAGCUAGCUAACGAUAGCUAAGACGUUACCAAAUUGGUUAGUGCUAACAUGAGUUAGCUAACGUUACUUAAGAUUUGUCAGACUUAGUUAACGUUAAUAAGUUAGCUAGCUAUUUGGCCAGCCACUGUAAUCUAUUUCUUUCUCGCUAGCUAGAGCCGUCUCAGUAAUGUUAAGAGUAGCAAUGGUAACUUACUUGCAUACAUCAAUGUAAUGUUUGUCACCUAACGUUCUUUCCUGCUCUGUUCUUCUGAACAUGCAUUGUGACACAUGGUAGACCAGGAGGGGGCAGUGGUAGUCUGGGCAAGGUGUCACAUGUGAAUGAGGAGCUCUAGUCGCUGCAGGUUAGAGAGAUGAUAGGCAGUUUAAUUGCUUAGUGUUGCAGUGGUUACAGUUUACCUGUGUUUUGUUCAAAAUAAUCAAACUCUAUCUGUUCACUGUAGGCAUAGUUACUGAUCUGAAGCUGGAUAACAACAUGUUGUAUAGUCCACUUUUAUUACAGUUCGUCAGUUAUGUUUUUAAUGUCAGAAGUGAAGAGAAGCAAACAUGACCUUGCUGCUGCAGAUGAUCAAAAACAUUGUAUGAUGACCCCCCCUACAUGUUAUUUUAGGUUACAUUGCAAGCACCCAAGAAGCCUGUCAUCGUCAACGGCUUAUCUUGUUCAGCUGAGGGCGUUUUGUGCAAUAUGGUGGCUCUACUGUUCCAGGCUGCACAUUACACCACAAUGGGGUUGUAGACUGUGUCAGCACCAUUGCCUUGCACGUACUGCAGUUGUGGUAUUGGCCAAGGACUCUGAGUUUUGAAUGGCAUUUGUCCAGAGCCCAUGGGAUGAAAUGGUUCUGAGGAAGCCAAGGACAUCAGGCAAGAGUGGCAUAAAACCCACUCUUUACCAAGCAUUCCCUGGCCCCUUCCUGACAUUACUGUGUCUGCUGGACCAAGUUCGAGGAGCAUGUGACCACAUCCUGCCAUUGCCACGGUGCUGCGUGGACUCGAAGAAAUUACUCUGGGUGACUCUAGAUUUGGUCCAAUGCUCCAUGGGUCAGUGCUGUCACGUCAUUGUCCCCCCCCAACUGUCACCAGAGAUUCUAAAACACCCAGAUGCUCCUGUAAUCCUCCAGCUCUCAGUAAAUUGUAAAGUAAAUUGUACAGUAAUUUAAACGUUGUCCCUACUUGCACUCAGUUUUACCACUUGGAGAGCUUAAAGGUGUCACCAGCAUUGUCAUCUGCUAUUGAGAAGGGCACAGUCGAGCAGUCUGUCUGUCCACUAUGGAAGGAAAUGAGGAAACCAUGUGUGAUUGCUAGCCAGUUUAGGGAGGCAUGCCAGGUGCGUGGGGAGUCAUCUAGCCAGGCCCUAGCCAUGAGAAUGCUUAAAGGUGAACGGCAAACCGAAGCUAUGCGAAGGGGUCUUGAGCUUAAGCCAGAGGUUCUCCAGAACUACUCUGAAUGAUUUGAUGUCUCAGUCAAACGUUGUGGUUUCGUUGUGCACCCAGAUGCACCCCAUCUCAAGGGGCAAACCAUGAUGAGAACGUUUAUGGCCCUUCUGCAGCGCCGCCCUUCAGGCUAGCAGAGAUCAAGUGCCUGAUGUUGAGUGUAAUUGAUGUGAAGCUCAUUUCAGUUUGUCAAUGGCCAGGCCAAGCUCAAACACAGCCACAAAUAUCACUAGCAAGUCCAGGGUCAACUGCCUGUAACCAGUUUAGUUUGGUACGACUUCACUAGAAGUGCCAUUACAGUAGAGAGAGUUUGGAGAGAUGAUUCUUUAGUGGCAGAGAUGAGAGGAACCUGACCUCUUCUACACCUACAGGGAUGUUUAGAUAACUCAUCAACGUUGUAUGUAGAUGAAUUUUUAUUUUGRAUUAAAGAAUUGUUUUGUUCUUUGUCUUUCCUGUGUGGCUCGGGUGGGAGAGCAUGGGGCUCGUAACGCCAGGGUUAUGGGUUCGAUUCCCACGGGGGAACCAGUACACAAGUAUCAAAAUGUAUGCACUCACUACUGUAUGUCGCUCUGGA